AUGAACGCUAGCGACAGGCUUAACACAUGCAAGUCGAGGGGCAGCACAGGUAGCAAUACCGGGUGGCGACCGGCGCACGGGUGAGUAACGCGUAUGCAACUUACCUAUCAGAGGGGGAUAACCCGGCGAAAGUCGGACUAAUACCGCAUGAAGCAGGGGCCCCGCAUGGGGAUAUUUGCUAAAGAUUCAUCGCUGAUAGAUAGGCAUGCGUUCCAUUAGGCAGUUGGCGGGGUAACGGCCCACCAAACCGACGAUGGAUAGGGGUUCUGAGAGGAAGGUCCCCCACAUUGGUACUGAGACACGGACCAAACUCCUACGGGAGGCAGCAGUGAGGAAUAUUGGUCAAUGGGCGUAAGCCUGAACCAGCCAAGUCGCGUGAGGGAUGAAGGUUCUAUGGAUCGUAAACCUCUUUUAUAAGGGAAUAAAGUGCGGGACGUGUCCCGUUUUGUAUGUACCUUAUGAAUAAGGAUCGGCUAACUCCGUGCCAGCAGCCGCGGUAAUACGGAGGAUCCGAGCGUUAUCCGGAUUUAUUGGGUUUAAAGGGUGCGUAGGCGGCCUUUUAAGUCAGCGGUGAAAGUCUGUGGCUCAACCAUAGAAUUGCCGUUGAAACUGGGGGGCUUGAGUAUGUUUGAGGCAGGCGGAAUGCGUGGUGUAGCGGUGAAAUGCUUAGAUAUCACGCAGAACCCCGAUUGCGAAGGCAGCCUGCCAAGCCAUGACUGACGCUGAUGCACGAAAGCGUGGGGAUCAAACAGGAUUAGAUACCCUGGUAGUCCACGCAGUAAACGAUGAUCACUAGCUGUUUGCGAUACAGUGUAAGCGGCACAGCGAAAGCGUUAAGUGAUCCACCUGGGGAGUACGCCGGCAACGGUGAAACUCAAAGGAAUUGACGGGGGCCCGCACAAGCGGAGGAACAUGUGGUUUAAUUCGAUGAUACGCGAGGAACCUUACCCGGGUUUGAACGCAUUCGGACCGAGGUGGAAACACCUUUUCUAGCAAUAGCCGUUUGCGAGGUGCUGCAUGGUUGUCGUCAGCUCGUGCCGUGAGGUGUCGGCUUAAGUGCCAUAACGAGCGCAACCCUUGCCACUAGUUACUAACAGGUAAAGCUGAGGACUCUGGUGGGACUGCCAGCGUAAGCUGCGAGGAAGGCGGGGAUGACGUCAAAUCAGCACGGCCCUUACAUCCGGGGCGACACACGUGUUACAAUGGCGUGGACAAAGGGAUGCCACCUGGCGACAGGGAGCGAAUCCCCAAACCACGUCUCAGUUCGGAUCGGAGUCUGCAACCCGACUCCGUGAAGCUGGAUUCGCUAGUAAUCGCGCAUCAGCCAUGGCGCGGUGAAUACGUUCCCGGGCCUUGUACACACCGCCCGUCAAGCCAUGGGAGCCGGGGGUACCUGAAGUCCGUAACCGCGAGGAUCGGCCUAGGGUAAAACUGGUGACUGGGGCU
rnacentral:rRNA from 1 species